rnacentral:lncRNA from 1 species
CUUAUUUCUCUCUUUCUAUUUUUUAAUCUAACCUUGCUCUAACCCGUAUGUAUGUGUUGUUCCUCACUUUAUAUGCGCAUAUGUUUAGUAUGAUGUUUUGACCUUAGUAAAGAGAAAACGAGAAAAAGUAAGCUGGGUUUUGCGUGUGGAUGUUUCUAAAGCAUGGGGAUCGGCAUUGCCUUAAAAUAAGAGAAACGAUGGAUUUUGGCUGCUUUUUUAAGCUAAAAAAGAUAAUGAUAUUUUAAAAUUUUUGAGAUAUAUAUAUAUAUAUAUAUAUUUGUCGCAAUCUUUUAUUUAUUUAUUUUAUAUUUAAUACUUAUUCGCCCAACAUAUUAAUCUAUAUUUUCCCACGUAAUUAAAUUUCUAGAAAGAAAUGAAAAGGUGUUCUGAUUUUAGGUUUAUUGACAUCAGAAAAUGACUAGUCAACUCCCAUACCUCUUCGUUUUCUAUUUAUAAGACAUUUACACGACUGACUUAAGGAGUUUGAUUAAUUAAUUAAUUACAUGUCAUUCAAAAAUUCACUCAUCUACACGUGUUGAUUUCAAUGUCGUGCGUGUUUUUUAUUAUUUUUAGAUAAUUUACAAGUAUUUAUUGGUUAAAAGUUUAUAUUUUUCAUCAAUAUUUAAAAAUUAAGUAAUUUUGAUCCAAAUAUUAGUUAGGCUACCAAACUUAGAUGCCUUUAGAUUCUUAAAAGCGAUAAAAAGAAAUGCCAUAAUUCUACCUAACAAAUGCUUAUCCCAAACUUCUCAAGGAGUUAACGAUAAUUGCUUUUUAUCUUUUUUUUUCUCCGUAGUAUAUUAUUACUAAGAUGAUGUGUUAAUUUGGGGUGUUGAAUUUGUGAUCAGAUUUUAUGUCGAUGAAGUUCCGAUUAGGGAAGUGGUACGCAAUGAUGCAAUGGGUGGAGACUACCCAUCAAAGCCAAUGUCUUUGUAUGCAACAAUUUGGGAUGCCUCUAGCUGGGCCACCAACGGAGGAAAAUAUAAAGUUAAUUACGAAUAUGCCCCUUUCACUUCCGAGUUUAAAGACCUAGUCCUUGACGGUUGCGCCAUCGAUCCCAUCCAGAAAUUCCCCAACUCCACUGCCUGCUCCGAGACAGAUACCUGGCUCGAGAGCCGUGACUACGCCGUCAUAACACCGAAAAGCCGAUCCGCCAUGCGAAGAUUCAGGCAGCGUUACAUGUACUAUUCAUAUUGUUAUGACAAUGUGCGUUACCCUAUAACACCUCCCGAGUGCGCAGUUGAUUCAAACGAAAAACAAAGGUUCCGUAACACCGGGAGGUUGAGAUUCGGUGGAAGCCAUAG